UACGUAGGGGGCGAGCGUUGUCCGGAAUCAUUGGGCGUAAAGCGCGUGUAGGCGGCUUGGUAAGUCCGCUCUGAAAGCCCGGGGCUCAACCCCGGGAGGCGGGUGGAUACUGUCAAGCUCGAGUCCGGAAGAGGCGAGUGGAAUUCCUGGUGUAGCGGUGAAAUGCGCAGAUAUCAGGAGGAACACCAAUGGCGAAGGCAGCUCGCUGGGACGUGACUGACGCUGAGACGCGAAAGCGUGGGGAGCAAACAGG
rnacentral:rRNA from 1 species